rnacentral:rRNA from 1 species
UGGGGAAUCUUGCGCAAUGGCCGAAAGGCUGACGCAGCGACGCCGCGUGUGGGAUGAAGCAUUUCGGUGUGUAAACCACUGUUGCCCGGGACGAACAUCCUCUUUCGAGAGGACUGACGGUACCGGGUGAGGAAGCACCGGCUAACUCCGUGCCAGCAGCCGCGGUAAUACGGAGGGUGCGAGCGUUGUCCGGAAUCACUGGGCGUAAAGGGCGCGUAGGUGGCCUGUGGAAGUCUGCGGUGAAAGUCCGGCGCUCAACGCCGGAUCGGCCGUGGAUACUCUCGGGCUUGAGCUUACUAGAGGCAGAUGGAAUUCCGGGUGUAGCGGUGGAAUGCGUAGAGAUCCGGAAGAACACCGGUGGCGAAGGCGGUCUGCUGGGGUAAUGCUGACACUGAUGCGCGACAGCGUGGGGAGCAAACAG